rnacentral:rRNA from 1 species
UGGCCUUGACAUGUCGAGAACUUUCCAGAGAUGGAUUGGUGCCUUCGGGAACUCGAACAC